rnacentral:rRNA from 1 species
AGUGAACGCUGGCGGUAGGCCUAACACAUGCAAGUCGAACGGCAGCACAGUAAGAGCUUGCUCUUACGGGUGGCGAGUGGCGGACGGGUGAGGAAUACAUCGGAAUCUACUUUUUCGUGGGGGAUAACGUAGGGAAACUUACGCUAAUACCGCAUACGACCUACGGGUGAAAGCAGGGGAUCUUCGGACCUUGCGCGAUUGAAUGAGCCGAUGUCGGAUUAGCUAGUUGGCGGGGUAAAGGCCCACCAAGGCGACGAUCCGUAGCUGGUCUGAGAGGAUGAUCGGCCACACUAGAACUGAGACACGGCCCAGACUCCUACGGGAGGCAGCAGUGGGGAAUAUUGGACAAUGGGCGCAAGCCUGAUCCAGCCAUACCGCGUGGGUGAAGAAGGCCUUCGGGUUGUAAAGCCCUUUUGUUGGGAAAGAAAAGCAGCAGGUUAAUACCCCGCUGUUCUGACGGUACCCAAAGAAUAAGCACCGGCUAACUUCGUG